GAGUUUGAUCAUGGCUCAGGACGAACGCUGGCGGCGUGCUUAACACAUGCAAGUCGAACGGAAAGGCCCCCACCUUGGUGGGGGUGCUCGAGUGGCGAACGGGUGAGUAACACGUGGGUGAUCUGCCCUGUACUUCGGGAUAAGCUUGGGAAACUGGGUCUAAUACCGGAUAGGACCAUGGUUUAGUGUCUCAUGGUGGAAAGAUUAUUGUUUUGGUGCAGGAUGAGCUCGCGGCCUAUCAGCUUGUUGGUGGGGUAAUGGCCUACCAAGGCGUCGACGGGUAGCCGGCCUGAGAGGGUGGACGGCCACAUUGGGACUGAGAUACGGCCCAGACUCCUACGGGAGGCAGCAGUGGGGAAUAUUGCACAAUGGGCGCAAGCCUGAUGCAGCGACGCCGCGUGGGGGAUGACGGCCUUCGGGUUGUAAACUCCUUUCGUUAGGGACGAAGCCGCACCUUUUUUUGGGUGUGGUGACGGUACCUUUGUUAAGAAGCACCGGCUAACUACGUGCCAGCAGCCGCGGUAAUACGUAGGGUGCGAGCGUUGUCCGGAAUUACUGGGCGUAAAGAGCUCGUAGGUGGUUUGUUGCGUCGUCUGUGAAAUUCCGGGGCUUAACUUCGGGGUGGCAGGCGAUACGGGCAUAACUAGAGUGCUGUAGGGGAGACUGGAAUUCCUGGUGUAGCGGUGGAAUGCGCAGAUAUCAGGAGGAACACCGAUGGCGAAGGCAGGUCUCUGGGCAGUAACUGACGCUGAGGAGCGAAAGCAUGGGGAGCGAACAGGAUUAGAUACCCUGGUAGUCCAUGCUGUAAACGGUGGGCGUUAGGUGUGGGGACCGGUUUGGUUUCUGUGCCGUAGCUAACGCAUUAAGCGCCCCGCCUGGGGAGUACGGCCGCAAGGCUAAAACUCAAAGGAAUUGACGGGGGCCCGCACAAGCGGCGGAGCAUGUGGAUUAAUUCGAUGCAACGCGAAGAACCUUACCUGGGUUUGACAUGCACCAGACGGUUGUAGAGAUACGUACCUCCCUUUGUGGUUGGUGUGCAGGUGGUGCAUGGUUGUCGUCAGCUCGUGUCGUGAGAUGUUGGGUUAAGUCCCGCAACGAGCGCAACCCUUGUCUUAUGUUGCCAGCACGUUUGGGUGGGGACUCAUGAGAGACUGCCGGGGUUAACUCGGAGGAAGGUGGGGAUGACGUCAAAUCAUCAUGCCCUUUAUGCCCAGGGCUUCACACAUGCUACAAUGGUUAGUACAACGCGCAGUAAACCUGUGAGGGUGAGCGAAUCGCUGAAAGCUAAUCUCAGUUCGGAUUGGGGUCUGCAACUCGACCCCAUGAAGUCGGAGUCGCUAGUAAUCGCAGAUCAGCAAUGCUGCGGUGAAUACGUUCCCGGGCCUUGCACACACCGCCCGUC
rnacentral:rRNA from 1 species